rnacentral:rRNA from 1 species
CCUACGGGAGGCAGCAGUGGGGAAUUUUUGGCAAUGGGGGCAACCCUGACCAAGCAACGCCGCGUGGGUGAUGAAGUCUCUUGGGACUUAAAACCCUUUCGACGGGGAAGCGGUACCCGUAGAAGAAGCCCCGGCUAACUCCGUGCCAGCAGCCGCGGUAAUACGGGGGGGGCAAGCGUUGUUCGGAAUUACUGGGCGUAAAGGGCGCGUAGGCGGUGCUCUAAGUUAGAUGUGAAAACUCUGGGCUCAACCCAGAGCCUGCAUCUAAAACUGGAGUGCUAGAGUUCUGGAGGGGGUAGCGGAAUUCCUGGUGUAGCGGUGAAAUGCGUAGAUAUCAGGAGGAACACCGGUGGCGAAGGCGGCUACCUGGACAGAACUGACGCUGAGGCGCGAAAGCUAGGGGAGCAAACAGGAUUAGAUACCCUUGUAGUC